rnacentral:lncRNA from 1 species
GUUCAAUCAAAAAGUUAGAAAUAUACUUUUCUAAGGUCACACAGCUAGUCUGUGUUGGAGCCAGAACUUGAAUCCAGAAAGUUUGGCUCCAGGGUAUGUCCAGGAAGCCUGUUUCCAUUCACAGGAGGUCCUGCACAUGCUGAGCCCUGAGGCCCUUCUCCAGAGGCAAGGUAGUGGUGGACUUGACAGUGACCUUGCAGAGAACAGCUGGGCCCAGAGAUAGGACACUUCCAAGCAGGAAAUAAAUCUCCCAUGUGAAAGGUGCUGUCCUUGCACCAGGAAGUGGAGAGAUAUCCUUAUCGUCAGAGACAGGGAAUUCAGGGCAGAGAAGGCUAUGCUCUCUCCAGCAAUCAACAACCAAACUGUUUCUUCUGACCCGGGCUAUCCUGAACCUGGAUUUCAGUAGGUCUUGCCUUGACCCAGCUUUCAACAGCAACAGGAAAUGCCUUCCCAGGACAUCCACCCAUUCAGGAUAAUCUCACAGGGUCUACAUAGAUGCUGGAGGUGGGAGAUCAGGCCCCUGUUCAACCUCUCCCACUCCAACACAGCUCCUGCUACCAGCAGCACCACCCCCAACCCCUCCUUGCGUCUUCUUAGAAGCUUGGGAGCCCUACUCUGCUGAUAGAGAACUUUCAAGAUGGCGCUAGCCCGUCCUUGUUCCGCUCAAGAAUCUCAUCAAUCCACGCACGGUAUCAUUGGGCUCAUGCCAGUUCUUUGCUCUGUGCUGCUCUGCCAUCUUUCUACUGCCCCAUUUCCCUGGGACAAGGCACAGGUCUGCCACCUAAGAACACAUCCAGCCAGCAAAAGAGGUGCCACUCUGCCCUUUGGCCAGCCCACUUCUCUUCAAGGCAGUCUUCCCUUGGCUUCACGAAGGGGACAGCACCCCUCCUGUCACCAGAUCACCUGCUCUGGGGAAACCCAGCUGCCAUGUUGUGAGGAUGCUCAGGCAGCCCAUGGAAGGGCUCACGGGGCGAGGAAGUGAGAUGUUCAACCAACUGCUAGCAAGAAACCGAGUCUUGCCAACAAGCACAUGAGUGAGCUUAGAAGCAGCCUCAUGUGACUCCAGUGCCGGCAGCCAGCUUGACUGCAACUUCACAAGAAACCCUGAGCCUCCACUAACCAGUUAAAUGGCUCCCCAAUUCCUAAUACAGAAAAACUGAAUUUACCAGAAUACGUUUCCUCAGGGCUCCGAGAGAAUAAGAGUUUAAUGGAAGAGAAGGAGAUGAGAUCCAGCCAAAUUCCGACCCUCAGACACCUCCUGAGGACAGCCAUUCUUUGGGGACACAGAGCUGCUUGCUCACUCCUUAAAUGGAUUUCACAUCAGAGAUGAGCUGUUGGUGAAUCCUAGGGUGUAGGAAUUUGCAGUCUAAGGACAUUAAGAUGUUAUAUGAAGAGACAUUUGCUUCCAAGACCAGCUGUCGCCAAUCAACCCCAGAGUGAACCAGACAGUCCCACCGCCAGACUUCAUGGUGGAAAGAAUCAAGGGGCUGUGAUGGGCCAACUGGCCUAACGUUAGCCGUUCAUGAACGCGACAAUAGGCCGUCAAGCCCCCAAACAGCGGAUUUGUACCCAGCAGACACCCUUCUGAGUGUGAGCUGGAAUCCAGAAUUUGCAAAGCUGCCAACCAGGCCAGUCUUGCCUCUCUGUCUCCCAGGAAGGAUAACACUUUUCACUUCCAAUUAUUGAUAACUUCUUGGCAAACUUAUGCCCCUUUUUAAGCUGUCAGCUCUGUCAGAUCAUUCAGUUAUUGAGAAUGAAGCCAAGGAAAAGGCACAAAGAGCCUAGAGGUAGAGGGAGAAGAGAUUGCUGACAGCUACCUUGGAUACAGCCAUUCCUGAUGCUGAUAUAUCCCUAGUCAUUUUAUUUCAUAACCAAUUGAUUAUCUUUACCCCAUCCCACCCCUGGGCCAAUUUAUGUUGAUUUCUGCUCCUGGCAAGUGAGAGAGCCUUGAUACCUAGCCAGACAAUACUCUAGCCAGACAAUUCAAAGACCGCAUGAAAAGAGUAGAGGAAGAGAGAGAGGAAAAGAUAGACCCGGAAAUCAGUGGAACCUCCAGAAUUGCUUCUAAACAAGCCCUUCUGUCCCCAUAGCUCUUCCCUAGUCUGGCCCACGCUGCCAAUGGAACUAGAAUCAGACCAGUGCCUGGAAAUAGGAAAGCAAGACUUGACCAUUCUCUCCUUUUUAAAAUUAUUAUUAUUUUUUAUUGCGGUCACAUUGGUUUAGAACAUUAUAUAAACUUCAAGUAUACCUCAUUAUAUUUUGAUUUCUGGAUAGACUAAGUCGUGUUCACCACCAAAAGUCUGGGUGCUAUCUGGAGACCUGACCGUCCUCUUAAACAAAUGCAAUAUUGGCUCUCUUCUUAAAUAGAAACAUUGGUCAACAAGAUCUUACUACCUUCUGAAAAAUGCUUAUGAAUGUUUUAGAAAGAUACAGAAUACCUUGCAGUUCUAUUUAAAAAGAAAAUCUGUCCCUAAUUUUUUUUCUUACCUCAAGACACUUCAAUCUCUUACACAUGAAAUCCAAUAUGUGUUUAUACACAAGCUUCUCUAUUUUCUUACUGAAAAAAAAAAUACUGUUUUUGAGGACGAAAAAUUUGUUGCUGAUAUUAUACUCUUUUAUAAUCUGUGAGUCCUAUCAAAUCAUUCACACCAUGCAUCUGUAGAAUCCAGGAGGUUCUAACUUCGAAUCCAUGAGGGAACGCAACACCAGGCGGUAAGCAGAGUAUAUAUAGAACAGAAGAUUCGAGUUGAUAUGUUGUCGACAAGAAUAAAAACUCACUUCAGUUUCCAUAUUAUUUGAAGACACACAAAAUAGAUUAAGGUCUGAGGGUCAGGAAUGAACAUUUUAUGGAAAUGAAAACAUAUAUUCAGAUAAAAAAAUAGUAUACGUCUUUUCUCAGUACAAUUAAAUAUAAGCAAAUGGGAAAAAUAUGAAGUUUAACUUUAGGGUUUUUUUCUUCUAGCUUUAGAAAACUGUGUCUUUCUAUUUACAUGUAAAACAUUAGCAUCAGAAGCAGCAACUCUACAUAAUACUACGUAAGUGUUCCAUAAAACUCAGUUCAAAUAUGCACAAGAAAAAAUUUAAAUCUAUUCAUAGUAAUGAAUGCUGUACUUAAGAAUGCAAAAUAGUCUUAGCAAUUUAAAACC